UCCUGGAGCCAUAGCAGCCUAAGGACGACCCAGCCAGGAAGCUAAGCAGGGCCAGGUCUGACAGGGGCUUGCAUGGGGAACUGCCUGCGGACAUCAGUGGCUGCAGGCU
ensembl:rRNA 5S_rRNA 5S ribosomal RNA